CGAGUGGCGGGACGGGUGAGUAAUGUCUGGGAAACUGCCCGGUGGAGGGGGAUAACUACUGGAAACGGUAGCUAAUACCGCAUAACGUCGCAAGACCAAAGAGGGGGACCUUCGGGCCUCUUGCCACCGGAUGUGCCCAGAUGGGAUUAGCUUGUUGGUGAGGUAACGGCUCACCAAGGCGACGAUCCCUAGCUGGUCUGAGAGGAUGACCAGCCACACUGGAACUGAGACACGGACCAGACUCCUACGGAAGGCAGCAG
rnacentral:rRNA from 1 species